UACGGAGGGGACUAGCGUUGUUCGGAAUUACUGGGCGUAAAGCGCACGUAGGCGGAUUUGUAAGUCAGGGGUGAAAUCCCGGGGCUCAACCUCGGAACUGCCUUUGAUACUGCGAAUCUCGAGUCCGGAAGAGGUGAGUGGAAUUCCUAGUGUAGAGGUGAAAUUCGUAGAUAUUAGGAAGAACACCGGUGGCGAAGGCGGCCCACUGGAUCGGUACUGACGCUGAGGUGCGAAAGCGUGGGGAGCAAACAGG
rnacentral:rRNA from 1 species